rnacentral:rRNA from 1 species
AGAGUUUGAUCAUGGCUCAGAUUGAACGCUGGCGGCGUGCUUAACACAUGCAAGUCGAUCGGUAACGCGGGGGCAACCCUGGCGACGAGAGGCGGACGGGUGAGUAACGCUUGGGAAUCUGCCCAUCAGCGGGGGACAACCCGGGGAAACUCGGGCUAAUACCGUAUACGCUCCACGGAGGAAAGCAGGGGACCGCAAGGCCUUGCACUGAUGGAUGAGCCCAAGUCGGAUUAGCUUGUUGGCGGGGUAACGGCCCACCAAGGCGACGAUCCGUAGCUGGUCUGAGAGGACGAUCAGCCACACUGGGACUGAGACACGGCCCAGACUCCUACGGGAGGCAGCAGUGGGGAAUAUUGGACAAUGGGCGAAAGCCUGAUCCAGCGACGCCGCGCGGGUGAAGAAGGCCUGCGGGUUGUAAAGCCCUUUCGGUAGGGACGAAAGCUUCCGACCUAACACGUCGGAAGGUUGACUUAACCUACAAAAGAAGCACCGGCUAACUCUGUGCCAGCAGCCGCGGUAAUACAGAGGGUGCGAGCGUUAAUCGGAAUUACUGGGCGUAAAGCGCACGCAGGCGGCUUUGCAAGUCGGGUGUGAAAUCCCCGGGCUCAACCUGGGAACUGCAUUCGAGACUGCAUUGCUCGAGUAUGGGAGAGGGAAGUGGAAUUUCCGGUGUAGCGGUGAAAUGCGUAGAUAUCGGAAGGAACAUCAGUGGCGAAGGC